rnacentral:rRNA from 1 species
CCUACGGGCGGCAGCAGUGAGGAAUAUUGGUCAAUGGACGCAAGUCUGAACCAGCCAUGCCGCGUGCAGGAAGACGGCUCUAUGAGUUGUAAACUGCUUUUGUACGAGGGUAAACGCAGAUACGCGUAUCUGUCUGAAAGUAUCGUAAGAAUAAGGAUCGGCUAACUCCGUGCCAGCAGCCGCGGUAAUACGGAGGAUUCAAGCGUUAUCCGGAUUUAUUGGGUUUAAAGGGUGCGUAGGCGGUCGGAUAAGUUAGAGGUGAAAUCCCGAGGCGCAACUUCGGCAUUGCCUGUGAUACUGUUCGGGUAGAGAGGAGAUGCGGUAGGCGGAAUGUAUGGUGUAGCGGUGAAAUGCUUAGAGAUCAUACAGAACACCGAUUGCGAAGGCGGCUUACCAAGCUACUUCUGACGUUGAGGCACGAAAGCGUGGGGAGCAAACAGGAUUGAUACCCUAGUAGUC